rnacentral:misc_RNA from 1 species
GUGCUUGCUAUCUUCGCCGCAUACCUGUACAGAACCACUUCCAGUAGACACCAUCAUACAUCCAGUACGGUGCGCACGUAUACAAGCACUCUUACUAGCACAGCGUCCAGCCAAGCGCUUCUUUCCCUGUGAGGGAAUCCGUGUCACACACGCAUCUCUCUUUUUUUUUCGUGUGUGGCGCAGCGGGUCUGGGCGAAAGAUGGGGCAAGCGAAGACGAAGCUGAACAUCAUCAUUUGCGGGCUGGACAACAGCGGUAAAACCACCAUCAUCAACUUUAUGAAGCCGGAGAACCAGCGCUCCGAGAACAUCGCGGCCACCGUGGGGUACAACGUGGACAGCUUCAAGAAGGGAAAUGUGUAUAUUACAGCGUUCGACAUGAGCGGCGCGCAGAAGUUCCGAGGACUGUGGGAGAGCUACUACAGCAACAUCGACGGUGUCGUGUUCGUGAUCGACAGCAGCGAUGCCCUCCGCCUGUGCGUCGUGAAGGACGAGCUGGAGCAGAUGCUCCAUCACGCCGAUCUCAAGACGUGCAAGGUGCCGUUUGUUUUCUUCGCCAACAAGAUGGACCUCGCAGGGGCAAAGACGCCGAUGGAGCUGACGCAGAUCCUGCAGCUGAAUAGUCUCAUGGGUGAUCAUCCCAUGAACAUAUUCGCCUCCAACGCACUGCGAGGCGAGGGCAUUCACGAAGGGAUGGACUGGCUGCGGUCAGUGAUGCUGCGCCACCUGGAGCAGUCCAAGAAGAAGUGAGCUGCGCAGCAGAGGAUAAUGAGAGGAGGAAAGGGAUGUGGCACUCAGAUACAGACCGAAGCGCCUCCGAAGACGUAGCAUCGCUAUUCUCUGCCUCUCCGUUGUGUUUGUGCACGUGCGGCCCCUCCCCUCUCCCCCUCUUUUAUGCGACCCAUCAUUUUUUUUCUUGGUGGAUUUCGUGGUAUCGAAACGUCGCGAGCCCGCAGGGUCGCCUGUGCGCAUGGUUGCGUGGGCUGACUGUGCAGCUAAUCCCUCAUUCUUGUACAGCGUGUAUGUGUUUACGUGCAGCCGGUGCCCCACCCACCCCAUCACCCCAUCCUUUCUGCCUUUCAGUCCUCUUUCCCCCUUUUGUGUUUGCUGGAUCAUGUCCUCCAACUCUCUCCUCUACCUUGCCGUGGCUCUCUUCUUCGUCCCUCCAUCCCUCCCUCCUCCAUCGUCUUUCUUCUGUACACGUGUACGUGUAGUUCUGCGUGCACGAGCCACAGGCCUCCCUCCUUCCCCCUCUUUCCUCCCUCUCCCUUGCUGACUGUGCGGAGCAUUCCUUCCUGAUUAAUCCGUUUUCGUCUCCUUAGGAGAGGAUGGAUGCUGAGCCUUGACGUCGGCCCCUGCUAUAUACAUGUAUGCCUUUUUCUCCCUCUGUGUCCGAUGGCGUUGAAGAUAUCCUUGAUGCGUGCGUUGUGAGAGAGGAGGGGACGGUGGGGAAGGACGUUUUCGGAGGGGGAGGAGGUGCCCUCCCUCGCGGGCUCUGUCGCCCCCUCGCCCUCCUCCCCGUUCUCCCCUCCCUCUCGACGCGCCCUUCAUGGGCACCUGCUUGUGCGUGCAUCGGAAGGUGUGCUGGGUGCGUCUUCUCAGAGAGUUCUCUCUUGAAGCGACAGCAGCUGGCUCGGUGCCAGCCGGAAAGUGAAAUGUGUGUGGGGGAGGGGGGAGGGGGCGCAGCGAAAGCCGGGGACAUGGGUGUCCGCAUGGGAGCAGGAAUAGGCCUCAGCGCGGCUCUGCCGCUCUGGCGCGAGAAGCAAUCAAGCAGCCACCGAACGGAAGCGGUAAUGAAUGAGCGGCCGCGCGAACGUGUCUUUGAUGUGAUGUACGUAUUCUUCCCAACCCGCUGGCCCUACACGUGCGAGCGGCCGUCAGGAAGGAGCGUAAAGGACUCGGUGGCGAAACAUCAACUACUGGUUUUGGUUAAGGCCCGACCGCAAGUGCGCGUACGGGUGUGUCACACACGGAUCGCCGCGAAGCGCUAAAGUGCGGCCGCUUCUGUCUCUCCUCUCCUCUCACUCCCAUGCCCUCUAGCACACCAGGUAGAGCCAUUCUCCCUUCCCCCUCCUCUCUCUUCCCUUCGAUGGUGUGUUCUCCAUAUCGUGCACGCGAACACAUACGCCCAUGUCGCCCCCCCCCUGCACGCACCCCCUUCGCUCUGUCAUGGGCCCUCGCGGUCUUCCUCCGCCGAAACGAACGAAAG